rnacentral:lncRNA from 1 species
UAUCCAUGAUUUGUAUAUUUUCUAGAACUUGCGACUAUUCUUUACUGUUGAUUGGUUUUACAUUUUCACACAUAGAGGCACAUUUGUUUGGUACUUUGAGCCUUUUCAAGCUACCAUGUUUAUUAUUUAUCCGUUGCUAAACCAUUUUGAGCCUAAAAAAAAAUAUUCCCCUUUCUUUCGGUGACAUACCAAAUUAUAAGCCUUUAAGACCUGAAAAUUUUUAUCUGUUUGCCCUCUUUGGAGUUAGGUAGAAGCUUUAAAUUUCCUUGUCAUGGCAUCAUUUUA